rnacentral:rRNA from 1 species
UGGGAAUCUUCCACAAUGGGACGCAAGUCUGAUGGAGCAACGCCGCGUGAGUGAAGAAGGUUUUCGGAUCGUAAAGCUCUGUUGUUGGUGAAGAAGGAUAGAGGUAGUAACUGGCCUUUAUUUGACGGUAAUCAACCAGAAAGUCACGGCUAACUACGUGCCAGCAGCCGCGGUAAUACGUAGGUGGCAAGCGUUGUCCGGAUUUAUUGGGCGUAAAGCGAGCGCAGGCGGAAAAAUAAGUCUAAUGUGAAAGCCCUCGGCUUAACCGAGGAACUGCAUCGGAAACUGUUUUUCUUGAGUGCAGAA